rnacentral:lncRNA from 1 species
UGUCAAUUUGUUAUCAUCAGCCAAUCAGUGUCCAGAUGCCUAGAGGGGUGGGACUAGAACAAGACAAACACGAGUGAAAAAUAGUGGUGUGUAGCGCAUUUUGUAAGUUCAUUAAACCUUUUUAAUUUACUGUAUUCCACCCAAGUUAAGAUCCAGGGAAUGUAUAAGAGUAUGUACUACAUUAAAGAGCGAGCCGUGUUUGGAGAGUUUCCAGCGGCAAUGUUGCUACACUCGCGCAAACUCCACUUUUGUUAGCUAGCUAGCUGUGGCUAUCGCGGGACCGGAAGUGACCGGACUGCCGUGCUCUGGACACUGACGCACCUGCUUCCGCAGUAGAGCUGCUCGGGCGUUGCGGCUGCCACAGAAACCUGCGUCCUGCGCAUGGACUCAGCCUCAGGACCAGGACCGGUUGUCGUCAUCACUCAGCUAACCGUGCGACAGAGGGGUUUCAACUUCCUGUGAUUGCUACUGACUUCCUGCCAUUUCCAUGGAAACGGUGACAAUUCUCCACUUGAGGAAAUCCGGAAUAGGCACCUGCCACACUAACUUCAGUGUCAUCACAUAUGACUGAAGGAGAAACACACUGCUGUCGAUGUUGGAGGACAAAAAAGGAACAAUAGAUGGCGAACUGAGAAACAUCAGUUCCCUGGACAUGGCAACCUGAACAAACUGACCAUGUGUACCGACCAAGACCUUCUGCAUAGACAACAAAAACAAGCCACGGUUCACUGCCAGACCAAGAAAACAUUGUCAGGCCAAGGAGGAGGCCUACAGAAGUAGAGAUCAGGAGAGGAGCCCCGUACAAGCAGGACAAAAACUGACUGACGACAGGGAUCACAGCGACUAAAAGAAACUACACUGGCUGAAAAACAGGUUUUCAGCCCAUGGCUCUCCAUCAGUGUGGAGAAGCCUUCAACACAUCACAGGCUACGUCCACAUAUGUAGUAGUAAAACAGAUCUAUUUUCCUAUGUGAACACCUAGUGUCCUCACUACACCCUAGUAUCUGAGCCUCUGAAACAGAGACUUCUGGAAACAAUGCUGGUGCCUUUUAGUUUGGAAACUCAGUGACGCAGACGCCCAUGUUCCCCUUCCUGACUGGGUCUUAUUAGAGCUACUCUACUAUAGCUCCUCUUGUUUCUCUAGAGAGUUAUUACACCCAGCAGCAGGUGAGGCUGGGAAAGUCAUCUGAAGUUUAUACCGACAGUCAGCACUGGUGCCCCCCGAGAAUGUGUUCUUUCCCCACUGCUCUUCUCCCUAAAUGCUAACGAUUGCACCGACAAGGAUCCAGCUGUA